rnacentral:rRNA from 1 species
AUGUCUAGGGCUGGCACUGAAACUUUACUGAAAUCAAAGACUCAAGCUAUCCCCACCUUCAUCUCAAGCUGUUUCCAUCUGCCUGUGGCUAUCUGCGAGAAGUUCAGGCAAAUCGUGUCUGAUCAAUGGUGGGGUCGCGAGGAUGGCAAAAAGAAAAUGCAUUGGUGCUCUUGGGAAUGGCUUUCUACACCGAAAUCCCUCGGGGGCAUGGGCUUCAGGGAUAUGGCGCUCUUCAACCAAGCUAUGUUGGGCAAACAAGGUUGGAGGCUUCUGACUGACCCUGGAUCUUUGUGUGCUCGGGUUCUAAAGGGAAGGUAUUUUCCGUUUGGUGACUUUUGGAAUGCUUAUGCUCCUAGUUCUGCCUCGGCCACUUGGCGUGCUAUUCUGCAUGGGCGGGACCUGCUCAAGAAGGGUGUGCAAUGGGGGAUUGGGGAUGGCAGGAGUACUCUCAUUGUCAAAGAUCACUGGAUCCCUUCCACUCCUCCGGCUAUGCUUCGAACUCUAUCACCCAUCCCAAGCUCGGCUACAGUCCAUUGUUUGCUUGAUGAGGAGAGCGGAGGCUGGAACGAGGAAUCUGUGCGUGCUUUCUUCCCUGAUGAUGUGGCUUAG